rnacentral:rRNA from 1 species
CAUUGCUGGGUAGCUAAAUGCGGAAGAGAUAAGUGCUGAAAGCAUCUAAGCACGAAACUUGCCAAGAGAUGAGUCAUCCCUGACUUUAAGUCAGUAAGGGUUGUUGUAGACUACGACGUAGAUAGGUCAGGUGUGUAAGUGUAGUGAUACAUUGAGCUAACAGAUACUAAUUGCCCGAGAGGCUUAACUAUACAACGCUCAAG